AUACGGAGGGUGCAAGCGUUACUCGGAAUCACUGGGCGUAAAGCGCGCGCAGGCGGUCUUUUAAGUUGGAUGUGAAAGCCUACGGCUCAACCGUAGAACUGCAUCCAAAACUAUUAGACUAGAGUGUGGGAGAGGAAGAUGGAAUUAGUUGUGUAGGGGUAAAAUCCGUAGAGAUAACUAGGAAUACCAAAAGCGAAGGCAAUCUUCUGGAACACUACUGACGCGGAGGCGCGAAAGCGUGGGGAGCAAACAGGAGUAGAAACCCUAGUAGUCC
rnacentral:rRNA from 1 species